CUUAGAGUCCUACUUGGAUACCUGUGGUAAUUCUAGAGCUAAUACACGCAUUCAAACCCCAACCUGACGGACGGGGUGCAUUUAUUAGAACAAAACCAAUUGGCUUUGGCCAUAAAUUGGUGAAUCUGAAUAACUACGCUGAUCGCAUGGUCUAGUACCGGCGACAUAUCCUUCGAGUGUCUGCCUUAUCAACUGUCGAUGGUAGUCUAUAAGCAUGGUUGUAUAAGCAUGGUUCUAUAAGCAUGGUUCUAUAAGCAUGGUUCUAUAAGCAUGGUAUAAGCAUGGUUCCAUAAGCAUGGUAUAAGCAUGGUUCUAUAAGCAUGGUUAUAUCAUGGUUGUAACGGGUAACGGAGAAUAAGGGUUCGACUCCGGAGAGGGAGCCUGAGAAACGGCUACCACAUCCAAGGAAGGCAGCAGGCGCGCAAAUUACCCACUCUCAGAACGAGGAGGUAGUGACAAUGUAAGUUUGCUGAGUAAUCAGUUUCAAACUAAAAAAUUAAAUCGAAAUAGUGGCCUAACUCUUGCAUUUUUGCAUUAUUAUUAACAGAAAUAACAAUGCCGGGCCUCUGUAGGUCU
rnacentral:rRNA from 1 species